AUAUUUUACAGAAAUUAAUUAAUUAAGUAGGAGGAUAUAUUAAGAAAGAAUGUUUAAUUACCAUCCGGCCCAAAAUCCACCACCUCUGUGAUGGCGAUGAGAUUUUGGUGGCUGUUGCUGCUGCUGAUAGGGAAGUGACUGUUGCUGCUGCUGAUAGGGAGGUGGCUGUUGCUGCUGCUGAUAGGGAGCUGGCUGUUGCUGCUGCUGAUAGGGAGGUGGCUGUUGGUGCUGCUGAUAGGGAG
rnacentral:lncRNA from 1 species